GUACUGUUUAAGAGUCCCAAACUAGGACGAAACAGCUGUCCAGUAC
rfam:Trichobilharzia regenti genome assembly, scaffold: TRE_scaffold0033223